CCUACGGGUGGCAGCAGUGAGGAAUAUUGGUCAAUGGGCGCGAGCCUGAACCAGCCAAGUAGCGUGAAGGAUGACUGCCCUACGGGUUGUAAACUUCUUUUAUAAAGGAAUAAAGUGAGGCACGUGAGCCUUUUUGUAUGUACUUUAUGAGUAAGGAUCGGCUAACUCCGUGCCAGCAGCCGCGGUAAUACGGAGGAUCCGAGCGUUAUCCGGAUUUAUUGUGUUUAAAGUGAGCGUAGAUGGGUUGUUAAGUCAGUUGUGAAAGUUUGCGGCUCAACCGUAAAAUUGCAAUUGAUACUGGCAGUCUGGAGUACAGUUGAGGUAGGCGGAAUUCGUGGUGUAGCGGUGAAAUGCAUAGAUAUCACACAGAACACCGAUUGCGAAGGCAUCUAACGAAUCCGCGAUUGACGCUGAUGCACGAAAGCGUGGGUAUCAAACAGGAUUAGAUACCCCAGUAGUC
rnacentral:rRNA from 1 species